rnacentral:tRNA from 1 species
GCCUGGGUGGCUCAGUCGGUUGAGCGUCCGACUUUGGCUCAGGUCAUGAUCUCACAGCUUGUGAGUUCAAGCCCCACGUCGGGCU